AACGAACGCUGGCGGCAUGCCUAACACAUGCAAGUCGAACGAGACCUUCGGGUCUAGUGGCGCACGGGUGCGUAACGUGUGGGAACCUGCCCUUAGGUUCGGAAUAACUCCCCGAAAGGGGUGCUAAUACCGGAUAAUGUCUUCGGACCAAAGAUUUAUCGCCUUUGGAUGGGCCCGCGUUGGAUUAGCUAGUUGGUAGGGUAAAAGCCUACCAAGGCGACGAUCCAUAGCUGGUCUGAGAGGAUGAUCAGCCACACUGGGACUGAGACACGGCCCAGACUCCUACGGGAGGCAGCAGUGGGGAAUAUUGGACAAUGGGCGAAAGCCUGAUCCAGCAAUGCCGCGUGAGUGAUGAAGGCCUUAGGGUUGUAAAGCUCUUUUACCCGGGAUGAUAAUGACAGUACCGGGAGAAUAAGCUCCGGCUAGCUCCGUG
rnacentral:rRNA from 1 species